UAGUUGACUUAACACCUGCCUCCCAAAG
rnacentral:sRNA from 1 species